GUUGCUGGCAGUACAGAAAUGACAAUUCACCUGGGUGUAAACAUGUCAUGCUGAAGUCUGAACAAACUUCUAUUUGUGUCCUUGCAGGGAAGCGAGACAUCAGAUGCAGAUGGAUGCUGCAAGACCUGUGAGCACAGUAACUGUGUUCGAGUGAGGAAUACGACCCAAAUCCUUGUUAAUGGCUGCACCUCCAUUGGGCCUAUAGAAGUGACUUCCUGCAGUGGCCACUGUGACACCCAGUCAAUGUAUUCAAUGGAGGCUAACAAAAUGAUGCACAGCUGCUCUUGUUGCCGAGAGAGUAAAAUCAGCACUAAACAAGUGAAGCUGAAGUGUCCCGAUAACAGUGAG